rnacentral:lncRNA from 10 species
CAGACGGGGCGGCUGGCCGGGCAGGGGGCUGACCCCCCCCACUGGACUGAGAUUUUUAAACCUCCCUCAUAGCCACAGUGGAGGAGCUGUGGACAGAGUACAGCCUUGUCCGGGCACUGCCCGUCGUCUCCUGGCUCAGGGGGAUCUAGCCCCAGCCACUGCCACUAGAGUGGAAUGAGGUUUCCUGUGGGAUCGGACGAGGGGGUGACUGCUUUCCUGUUCCAGAGGCCACCUGGGAACCGACGGUGUCCACUGAUGGACGUUUUCCUGGGCUGAAGUAUUUCAGAUGCCCAGUGUACUCCCAGCCCUCACAGCGGUCAGUUCUGCUUCACGGGUUUCCCACAUGAUUUGGCUAAGACGUCAGCCGGCAAAGACGCUUGGGUUGGCUUUAGACAUUACGAAUAAAAGGAAGCUGCGGGAGGCGGUCAAAGUCUGAGACAUGACAGGUCAAAGCUGAAAUCACAGGGGGCUGCGUUGCCUUUUGAUGGGAGAGCCAGAGGCUGCAUUCCGAAGAUUGCACGAUGCCAGCUCCCAACUGCGAGGGGGCAGAUUUGUUGGAAUUUCUCAAAUCCAGUCUUUGAUACAUGCGUUGUUCCUUCAAUUGCUAAUAAACGGUCUUGGGGAGAAAAAAGUGGAAAACAGCAUCUUCCUGUCCUCUCAGAGGAGCACAGGUGAUGAUGGCCUCCCAGGACGGUGCUAGGCUGUGCACAGGCUGGCCCUCCCUUUGUGAACUUUCUGUUCUUUCUGGCGACAUGCUUGCUGUGUGCUGGGAGCUCACCGUGGAAAGCCCCAGGCAUUGCUGCUCCUGUCUCCUGACGUGCAUGUGGCUCAGCUGUAAACAUCUUUACCCUUCAUGCUGACUUAAUACUGAUUGUCGGGAUUCAAAUGAAAAACAAAAGCAGAAACAAGAAGGGGUGUAGAAAUCAAGGUCCCUUAUCUGUAUUCGGCUGGAUUCGAGAUGGAAAAUUUUACAGGGACGUACGCACCGCAUCACACUGGUCAAUUGCUCUAAGAUACAUCUGGGGGAAAAGCACAGUGUCCUUCGUCUCCAUGAGAGAACUUACCGGAAGCAGCAUACACAACUCUACCAAAGAAGAAGUACAGUACCCAUUUCCGUAUAAGAAUAUAUUAUUUAAAAGACAGUUUAAAA